rnacentral:lncRNA from 1 species
GUCGUUAAGAAUUCCUUCAACAUAUGGCAUUUAAAUUGCUAAAAAGUAUUCCAUCGCAAAGACGUAUUUAACUUAGACACCCUUCCACCCAUUGUUGGAUAUUUAAGGGCUUGUCAAUUCCAUAACAUUCACGCUUUGUGGGGUCCAGAAAUAAACAGCAUAAUACCUGGAAUCUGGUAGGGGGUGGAUUUUGGGAAAACAAGAGGCAGCUUUUUCCAGGUGGCCUAAGAGAACAUUUGUUUGUUGUGGGUUGCUGGGCCCACGGCAGGUGUCCUCGGAAUGGAACGUAUUGUCGGUCAGGGUAUUGAGUUCUUCGUCUGUGAGGCGUGUCCCCGGGCCGGGACGCCUGGUCCCCGGGCGAGUUGGGUCUAAGCGCAGAUCUCCUUCCAACUCCGCGUCGAGGAGCCCCCGACUUUUGGCUAGUACUAGCGGACCGCUCCGGGCCAGACGCCGGGCGCUCACGCCACGCGCCGCCACGUGCCAGGGCCAGGGCCAGGGCCAGGGCCCCGCCCCCUCCGGCUCCCGGCCACGCCCCUCGCACGCCGCCCUCUGCGCUCGCGCCGCAGGUCCGCCUCCAGGCGACCUCCGCCAGUCCUCCGGGUCCAUAAGUAGCCCCGCCCCCGGACGGCGGGCCCCGCCCCCGCAAUCCGGGCCCCGGGGCUGCCCCGCCCCUCGGGCCGCCGGCGAGGCGUGGGGGCGGGGCCCUGCGCGAUGACGUGAGCGGGCGUGCGCCGUGACGGCCCGCGUCCCUGUUACUCAGCGGAGCGGCCGAGGCCGGACGACGCGGCCCGGAUCGCGGAGCCGCCGGCGACGCUGGGUAACGGCCGCGGCGACCGCCCGGACGGCGCCGGUCCCCGCCGGCGGGCUCUCCCGUCGCCGUUCGCCCGCGCGGCCGGCCAACUGUUCUCCGUUAAAAAGACCUUUCCUUUGUCAACUGGGAUGAACUACAGUUCUUCCAAAAAAGAUGAGCUAGAGCUUCCAGUAUGGUAUCGCAUAGGAGUGGUGAGAGCAGACGUCCUUGCCUUGUUCCUG